GCGCCCAUAGCUCAGUUGGUAGAGCACCUGCCUUUUAAGCAGAGGGUCGCAGGUUCGAUUCCUGCUGGGCGCACCG
rnacentral:tRNA from 5 species